rnacentral:tRNA from 1 species
CGCGGGAUAGAGCAGUUGGCAGCUCGCCGGGCCCAUAACCCGGAGGUCGCCGGUUCGAGUCCGGCUCCCGCAACCA